rnacentral:lncRNA from 10 species
UCCAAGUGCCCCAUAAACUGGCCACAGCACAGGGCGUGAGCGUGAAGGAAACUCACCACCUCAGUCACUUCCUCCACCACUUCAUAUCUGCUAGGAGCCUGACUCGCCAAGUCCACCAAGUCUUCUGAAGAGGAUUCCAUAGAAAGUGGGCACAUCUACCUUCCCUGUUAACUUGAAUAAACUGUUCCAUCUGCAUCAGGGUUGGGGGAUCCAGCUAUCUGUAAUUGUGAAGUGAAGAGGAUGUGACUGCCAGGUAAUGCUAACCCCGAAUCCUUGGUGCCUGUGUUAUGCACCAUAUGCUGAAUUUCGGUUCCAGCUGUGUGCUAGGCUGGGUCUGAUCUGGCAAAGAGGAACUGGCUCCACAGCUCUGGGCAGAAUCCACUGCUGCUCCCACACAGAGAAGACCAGGGGAACCGCAGUCCCACUCUGAUAGUGAGAGCAAAGGAAAGUGGCAACAAUGAAGGAAUAAAACCCAGCUCGUCCCCCUGUUCCUCAUGCCCAACCCUUGCCAAGACUUCAGGUAACAGAAGGAAGAGAACACAUGGAUGGGCACAUGCUGGGCCCGGAAGAGCUGUGCAUGUCCCACAGACCACGAGUGUGGAGCCCAUGGCCGUGUGAAGGGGGUGGGGUCCCAGUCCUAGAAGCAGGAUCAUGGAAGUGGCCUUGGAGGACCUGACGAGGAAGCCUAUGAUCUUCCAGGUACUUUUAGGUGAUGUGGAUUUAGACACUGGAUGUGGCUGUGAAGCGGGCUUUUGCUUUUUUGGUUGUCCGGCAUCCAUUUAAUCACGCCCCAGCUUCCUGCUUGGGAACUUCCACUAACGCUGUCAGUCCAUGGACUUCUAGAGGAGCUGAAUCUACCGCUGGCUCAGGAACAGGAACCUGACCUGGGCCUAAGCUAAUGAAUCCAUCAAAUUUACCUUGGCAAAGUGAUUGCCUCAGGAAUGGGCAGUGACCCAACUAGAGCCAAUAGGACUUUUCCCAGGUAUCCUGAAACAGACAGUCUUUUUCUCAUGGAUGUGGACCUGAGACAGUAUAGUUCUGGGAGUUGCUGACAACCAUCUUAUGGUCAUGAGCUGAUUUGAGAUUGGCUUCAACAAGCAGGAAGUGGAACAGAUGGAGAUAAAUUGGAUCCUGGUAAAAUUUGUUUGGAAUCUUGUAUAUGUUGAUUUUUCUCCUGAAUUUUUUUCAGUUAUAUGAACCAAUACAUUUUGUUUGUUUAACCCAAUAUGGGUCAUGUCUUCUCUCAACUGCAGGUGACUGCAGUUUACUUGUUUCAUAAAGUAGGAUUUUAAACAUAAACAGUAUGCAGAA